CGGAGUUACGCGGCAGUGGGCGGGGUCUAGUGUGGGCGGCUCUUCACCACCGGCGCUCACUGCGCUCCGAGAGAAGCCUGCAGCGGACGCAACACGCCGUACAGGUCCAUCUGUGUUUCUCUCUCUUCCUCUGUGCUACACGCUGAAGAACAGGAACCUAGACGCAGAUCUCAUCAGGUGCUUGUCCCGCUGAGAGACUCCACAGGGCCCUGAACCCACCUCCUAAAUACGCCACCAAUCGUCACUGGAGUAUCACCACCUAGACAGGAGUAAGGAGUGA
rnacentral:lncRNA from 1 species